rnacentral:rRNA from 1 species
AUACGUAGGGGGCAAGCGUUGUCCGGAUUUAUUGGGCGUAAAGAGCGUGUAGGCGGCCAGGUAGGUCGGUUGUGAAAACUGGAGGCUCAACCUUCAGACGUCGACCGAAACCCCCUGGCUAGAGUCCGGGAGAGGAGAGUGGAAUUCCUGGUGUAGCGGUGAAAUGCGCAGAUAUCAGGAAGAACACCCGUGGCGAAAGCGGCUCUCUGGAACGGUACUGACGCUGAGACGCGAAAGCGUGGGGAGCGAACA